AGAUUAGUGGCAUUUCCGUUCGAACACAACAUCUGUGCUUCAACAGGUGAAUGAUAACCCUUAAAAUAGGCGUACUGCGAAAAGAAAACGGAAAAUAAACUCUGAGGCGACUGAACCCCAAAAUCCCGGGAAGGAGUACUGCAGAG